GGAGGAGUCGCCUAGUGGUAUGGCACGCGCUUGGAAAGCGCGCGUUCGCAAGGACUCGCGAGUUCGAAUCUCGCCUCCUCCGCCA
rnacentral:tRNA from 1 species